rnacentral:rRNA from 1 species
CUACGUGCCAGCAGCCGCGGUAAUACGGAGGGUGCGAGCGUUAAUCGGAAUAACUGGGCGUAAAGGGCACGCAGGCGGUGACUUAAGUGAGGUGUGAAAGCCCCGGGCUUAACCUGGGAAUUGCAUUUCAUACUGGGUCGCUAGAGUACUUUAGGGAGGGGUAGAAUUCCACGUGUAGCGGUGAAAUGCGUAGAGAUGUGGAGGAAUACCGAAGGCGAAGGCAGCCCCUUGGGAAUGUACUGACGCUCAUGUGCGAAAGCGUGGGGAGCAAACAGGAUUAGAUACCCUGGUAGUCCACGCUGUAAACGAUGUCGAUUUGGGGGUUGAACUUUAGGUUUGGCGCCCGUAGCUAACGUGAUAAAUCGACCGCCUGGGGAGUACGGCCGCAAGGUUAAAACUCAAAUGAAUUGACGGGGGCCCGCACAAGCGGUGGAGCAUGUGGUUUAAUUCGAUGCAACGCGAAGAACCUUACCUACUCUUGACAUCCAGAGAACA